rnacentral:lncRNA from 1 species
UGAAUUAUAGGAGCUCUUUAUAUACUCUGGAUAUUAAUACUUUAUCAUAUAUAUGAUUUGCAAGUAUUUUCUUUUUGUAAUUGCCCUAUUACAAUGUUAGUUCACAAUAGUGUUAUUCAAUGCACAGAAGUCUUUGAUUUUGAUAUAGUCCAAUUUAUUAAUUUUUUCUUUUGCUGCCUGUGCUUUGUUCUUUUUCCUCAAGAUUGCUUUGGUUAUUCAAGGUCCUUUUUGGUUCCAUGUGAGUUUUAGGAUGGUAUUUUUCUAUUUCUGUGAAAAAUGUCAUUGGAAUUGUGGUAGGGAUUGCAUUCAAUCUUUGGUAGGGAUUGCAUUUGAUCACUUUAGGUAGUAUGGACACUUUUUAUUUGAGAUGAAGUCUCUCUCUGUCACCCAGGCUGGAGUGCAGUGACGUGAUCUUGGCUCACUACAAUCUCCACUUCACAGAUUUAAGGAAUUCUCCUGCCUCAGCCUUCCAACUAGCUGGGAUUACAGGACCAUGCCACCAUGCUGGCUAAUUUUUUGUGUUUUUAGUAGAGACAGGGUUUCACCAGGCUUGCCAGGCUGGUCUUGAACUCUUGACCUCAUGAUCCACCCACCUUGGUCUCCCAAAGUGCUUCUUCUAAUCCAUGAAAAUGGGAUAUCUUCCUAUUUGCUUGUGUUUUCUUCCAUUUGUUUCAUCAAUGUUUUAUAGCUUUCCAUGUAUAGAUCUUUCACCUCCUGGGUUAAAUUUAUUCUUAACUUACUUUACUGUCUUUGAUGCUAUUGUAAACAGAAUUUUUUUUGUUUUUUCGAGAUGGAGGCUUGCUGUCUCCCAGGCUGGAGUUGCAGUGAGCUGAGAUUGUGCCACUGUGCUCCAGCACGGGCAACAAAGCAAGACUGUUUCAAAAAGAAAAGAAAGAAAUUAAAUGAAUUGUAGAUUAGGAUACAGUCCUUAUAUAAUGCAUUCAGAACAAAAAGAAUCCUUAGAUAUAAUCUAGUAUUUUCCCCUUAUUGUAUAGCUAGUAAAACUAAGUACCAAAGAGGGAAGGGAGCUUGUCUGAGGACACCUUGCUAAUGAUUUUACUCUGUCCAUUAUACAGUAUCCCCACUUCUAUAUGAGUUUUUUGUGCAUAUCUGUUGAAUUUCUCAAUUUUUUUUUAGACGGGGUCUCACUUUGUCCCCCAGGCUUAAGUGCAGUGGUACUAUUUCAGCUCACUGCAGCCUCAACCUCCUGUGUUCAAGCAAUCCUCCUGCCUCAGCCCACCAAGUGGCUGGGACUACAGGCACAUGCCACUAUGCCUGGCUAAUUUUUUUGUCCCUUUUGUAGAGACAGUGUUUCACCAUGUUGCCCAGGCGGGUCUCAAAAUCCUGAGCUCAAACAAUCGGUCCACCUCGACCCUCC